rnacentral:rRNA from 1 species
UGGGGAAUAUUGCGCAAUGGGCGAAAGCCUGACGCAGCGACGCCGCGUGGGGGAUGAAGGCCUUCGGGUUGUAAACCUCUUUCACCACCGACGAAGCUAACGUGACGGUAGGUGGGGAAGAAGCGCCGGCUAACUACGUGCCAGCAGCCGCGGUAAUACGUAGGGCGCAAGCGUUGUCCGGAAUUAUUGGGCGUAAAGAGCUCGUAGGCGGUCUGUCACGUCUGCCGUGAAAACCCGAGGCUUAACCUCGUGGCUUGCGGUGGAUACGGGCAGACUAGAGGUAGGUAGGGGAGAACGGAAUUCCCGGUGUAGCGGUGAAAUGCGCAGAUAUCGGGAGGAACACCGGUGGCGAAGGCGGUUCUCUGGGCCUUACCUGACGCUGAGGAGCGAAAGCAUGGGGAGCGAACA